AGAGAGGAUGCACACUCUGAAGAGGGCAGGCAGCUUCUGCACCGAGGGAGCAAAGGGGCGUGUCAGGGGCAGCUGCUGGAAGGAGGCGCAAGCACCACGGAGAGUCUGGGAUGCCCAGCCAAGGAGCCCUGGAAGGGUUGCCCUGGGGACUGACACUGUGGGCUCUGUGUUUUAGCCAAGUCACCCAGGCAGCUGAACAGAAGAUGGACUGGAGGGAGAAGCCUGGAUGUAGGAUCGCUCAGCAACAAAGGAGCCAGAAAAGGCAAGGUGUACACACCGUGUGCAGCAUGGGCGAGCUGCAGGCAUGCAGGUCACUAUCCUUAAUCCCUCUCCCUGUGGGGUCUUCCCUAUCUUGAGCCUGUGGACAGCUGUGCAGUGGCAAGAAAAAGGCCUUCAGAGCUACGCAGACCUGGCUUCAAAUCCCAGCCUCCCUGAUGAGCCCUGGUGGUCUUGCAUGCUUGCCCUUGGGACUCAGACACCAUAUUGUGAGGAAGCCCAAGCUACAUGCAGAGGCCACUAUAGUUGUUCUGGCCAACAGCCCAAGCUUCAGCUGCCAGACAUAUAAAUAAACCAACUCUUCAAAUGA
rnacentral:lncRNA from 1 species